UACGUAGGGUGCGAGCGUUAAUCGGAAUUACUGGGCGUAAAGCGUGCGCAGGCGGCUUCUCAAGUCAGGUGUGAAAUCCCCGGGCUCAACCUGGGAAUUGCGCUUGAAACUGGGUAGCUAGAGUGCGGCAGAGGGAGGUGGAAUUCCACGUGUAGCAGUGAAAUGCGUAGAGAUGUGGAGGAACACCGAUGGCGAAGGCAGCCUCCUGGGCUGACACUGACGCUCAUGCACGAAAGCGUGGGGAGCAAACAGG
rnacentral:rRNA from 1 species